rnacentral:lncRNA from 1 species
GUGGUUGUGUGUGGGGACUGGUAUAUUUGUUUAGUUUUGUUUUAGGAUUUCUAAUAAAAAAAAUAACCAUUGACUUUAUAAAAAAUUACAAAUUACAUAUUUUUUCAUAUAUGGAUUAAAUGUGUCAUAAACGGGUUCACGGGUUAACAUGCAACAUAACAUGAAAUUCUUCGUAUCAUAAAUAGGUCAAUAUGAUUUCAACAUGAAUCUAUAUAAGCUCAAUACUAAUAUAAAAAUUUCAUAUUGUGUCGCAUGUCGUAUUCGUAUAUCGUGUUAAAAAUUAUCAUCCC